AGAAAUAACAAUACGGGGCUUAAUGUCUUGUAAUUGGAAUGAUGGGAAUUUAAACCUCUUCCAGAGUAUCAAUUGGAGGGCAAGUCUGGUGCCAGCAGCCGCGGUAAUUCCAGCUCCAAUAGCGUAUAUUAAAAUUGUUGCAGUUAAAAAGCUCGUAGUUGAAUUUCUGCUGCAUUUCAUUUCUCUUUCUGAGUUUGUUUUUGCGGCUUAUUUCGGUUUGAUUUUUUCUUUCCGGAUGAUUACUUUGAGAAAAUUAGAGUGCUCAAAGCAGGCUUUUGCCUUGAAUAGUUUAGCAUGGAAUAAUAAAGUAGGACUUUGGUUCUAUUUUGUUGGUUUUAGGUACCAAAGUAAUGGUUAAUAGGAACAGUUGGGGGCAUUCGUAUUUAACUGUCAGAGG
rnacentral:rRNA from 1 species